GGCAACGGCCAUACCACGUUGAAAGCACCGGUUCUCGUUCAAUCACCGAAGUUAAGCAACGUUGGGCACGGUCAGUACUUGGAUGGGUGACCGCUUGGGAACACCGCGUGCCGUUGGCA
rnacentral:rRNA from 1 species